rnacentral:rRNA from 1 species
UGGGGAAUAUUGGACAAUGGGCGAAAGCCUGAUCCAGCCAUGCCGCGUGUGUGAAGAAGGUCUUCGGAUUGUAAAGCGCUUUAAGUUGGGAGGAAGGGCAUUAACCUAAUACGUUAGUGUUUUGACGUUACCGACAGAAUAAGCACCGGCUAACUCUGUGCCAGCAGCCGCGGUAAUACAGAGGGUGCAAGCGUUAAUCGGAAUUACUGGGCGUAAAGCGCGCGUAGGUGGUUUGUUAAGUUGGAUGUGAAAUCCCCGGGCUCAACCUGGGAACUGCAUUCAAAACUGACUGACUAGAGUAUGGUAGAGGGUGGUGGAAUUUCCUGUGUAGCGGUGAAAUGCGUAGAUAUAGGAAGGAACACCAGUGGCGAAGGCGACCACCUGGACUAAUACUGACACUGAGGUGCGAAAGCGUGGGGAGCAAACA